UCACACCCGUUCCCAUGCCGAACACGGAAGUUAAGCUCUUCAGCGCCGAUGGUAGUUGGGGGUUUCCCCCUGUGAGAGUAGGACGUCGCCAGGC
rnacentral:rRNA from 1 species